rnacentral:snRNA from 1 species
UUCGCUUCUCGGCCUUUGGCUUAGAUCAAGGUCAGUAUCUGUUCUUAUCAGUUUAUACUAUACGUCCCCAUCGGGACUACAUAUUAAAUGAUUUUUCGAACAGAGUCGAAAUUGGCUCUCCGUCGCUCCACUCAUCGAAGCCGGGCUAUUGGCAGUACGCUCCGGCGGAACGUGUGCCAAACUUUCU